CUCGGACACAUGCUCAUGGAGCCCGUGGCUGCCCUGUGAGAAAUCCAGCUCCGCUGAGAACACUGCCUCAGAAAGGCUGCAUAUGGGCACUCUGGAUAGCAGCCCAGCUGAGCACAGGCUUCCGUCAUCCCAACCCAGACCCAAAUGUGCAAGUGAAGUGGCCUCCAGAUGACUCCAGUCCCAGCCAUUUCGUCUUUCCAGCUGAUGUCCCAGAUGUCACAGAGCCAGACAGAAUAGGAGAGUCUGAGCUGUGAAAGAAAGGGAGAGACA
rnacentral:lncRNA from 1 species